rnacentral:rRNA from 1 species
AUUGAACGCUAGCGGGAUGCUUUACACAUGCAAGUCGAACGGCAGCGCGGACUUCGGUCUGGCGGCGAGUGGCGAACGGGUGAGUAAUGUAUCGGAACGUGCCCAGUAGCGGGGGAUAACUACGCGAAAGCGUAGCUAAUACCGCAUACGCCCUACGGGGGAAAGCAGGGGAUCGUAAGACCUUGCACUAUUGGAGCGGCCGAUAUCGGAUUAGCUAGUUGGUGAGGUAACGGCUCACCAAGGCGACGAUCCGUAGCUGGUUUGAGAGGACGACCAGCCACACUGGGACUGAGACACGGCCCAGACUCCUACGGGAGGCAGCAGUGGGGAAUGUUGGACAAUGGGGGCAACCCUGAUCCAGCCAGCCCGCGUGUGCGAUGAAGGCCUUCGGGUUGUAAAGCACUUUUGGCAGGAAAGAAACGUCGCGGGCUAAUACCCCGUGGAACUGACGGUACCUGCAGAAUAAGCACCGGCUAACUACGUG